GGUAAGGUCACGUUUAUCCGAAGCUUCAAGAUACAGACUGUCAGAACGUAAUUGUGCAGCUUCUUGACCUUGAAGUGACAAAUGUAAUUUACAACUGUUGGACACCGAAUGUUUAACUCGAUCAAACUGGCGUUUGCGGGCUUCGCUAUCGACUCGUGAGUUGCGACGAUUUCUGCGACUUCUUGGCACCCUUACGCUCGGAGGACUUGAAACAAACUUGAGCUCCUGCAGGU